UAGGGAAUCUUCGGCAAUGGGGGCAACCCUGACCGAGCAACGCCGCGUGAGUGAAGAAGGUUUUCGGAUCGUAAAGCUCUGUUGUAAGUCAAGAACGGGUGUGAGAGUGGAAAGUUCACACUGUGACGGUAGCUUACCAGAAAGGGACGGCUAACUACGUGCCAGCAGCCGCGGUAAUACGUAGGUCCCGAGCGUUGUCCGGAUUUAUUGGGCGUAAAGCGAGCGCAGGCGGUUUGAUAAGUCUGAAGUUAAAGGCUGUGGCUCAACCAUAGUUCGCUUUGGAAACUGUCAAACUUGAGUGCAGAAGGGGAGAGUGGAAUUCCAUGUGUAGCGGUAAAAUGCGUAGAUAUAUGGAGGAACACCGGUGGCGAAAGCGGCUCUCUGGUCUGUAACUGACGCUGAGGCUCGAAAGCGUGGGGAGCGAACAGGAUUAGAUACCCUGGUAGUCCACGCCGUAAACGACGAGUGCUAGGUGUUGGAUCCUUUCCGGGAUUCAGUGCCGCAGCUAACGCAUUAAGCACUCCGCCUGGGGGAGUACGACCGCAAGGUUGAAAC
rnacentral:rRNA from 1 species